AUGUGUGUGUAUAUAAUAUUUGUACAUGUUGUGUGUGUCCAACUUCCAAGAGCCAGACCAGCCAUGUGAGAACCAUGAAGAGAGGAAGAGAGAGCUGAGCUGCAAGUUGCAACCUUAGAAUGUCUCGGACUUUGGAGCCCUCUGUGUUGUGUGCCCAGAAAGUGUUUACCUUUGUGUAACAAAUGUAACAAGCUUUGGGAUUGGAUUGGAUUGGAUUGUACUAUAAAGAAAAGGAGGUGAGUGGUGGUAAUGUAGAACCUGGCAGUGCAGUGCCAAAAAGGAUGUCAGUGUCAGAUUGCAGAGAGUCUCUAAGAAAUGUGGUAGGACUUUGUCAUAGAGCUGCAAAGUCACGUGACAGCCAUGUGACCAUUGAAGAGAAACCAUGAUGUUCUUGGAGGAAAUUUGGAUAUGUGAUCCUCUCCUUAUCUCUUUCAGCCUCUGCUGCUUCUCUUAUCCAUCUUUCUUGAAAUAAGUUUAUCUCAGUUCUCAAGUUUGCACAAUGUCACAUUCAUAUUGUGUACUGGCACCACAAACCUAGUUGAUCUUUCUUGUUUUUGCUUUUGUUUUCAUUAUUUUCUUGAUUGAAACAAGUGCUGGUUAAAAUUUGGCAUUGGUGAUAAGGUGUAGGGUGCUUGCUCCUGGGAACUUAGAAUUAAUGUCUCCUCAGAUUGUAAGAGUACGGAUAAAUAAACUAAGCAAAUUUCAGACAAAUAAUCAUAAGUGUCAGAACCAUU